GCAGCGUUGGUGUUCAAUGGUCAGCACUUCGGCCUUCCAAGCCGACGGUGCCGGUUCGAGUCCGGUACGCUGCUCCA
rnacentral:tRNA from 1 species